rnacentral:rRNA from 1 species
CCUACGGGUGGCAGCAGUGAGGAAUAUUGGUCAAUGGACGCAAGUCUGAACCAGCCAUGCCGCGUGCAGGAAGACGGCUCUAUGAGUUGUAAACUGUUUUUGUACGAGGGUAAACGCAGAUACGCGUAUCUGUCUGAAAGUAUCGUACGAAUAAGGAUCGGCUAACUUCGUGCCAGCAGCCGCGGUAAUACGGAGGAUUCAAGCGUUACCCGGAUUUAUUGGGUUUAAAGGGUGCGUAGGCGGUCGGAUAAGUUAGAGGUGAAAGCCCGGGGCUCAACUUCGGAAUUGCCUCUGAUACCGUUCGGCUAGAGAGUAGUAGCGGUAGGUGGAAUGUAUGGUGUAGCGGUGAAAUGCUUAGAGAUCAGACAGAACACCGAUUGCGAAGGCAGCUUACCAAGCUACUUCUGACGUUGAGGCACGAAAGCGUGGGGAGCAAACAGGAUUAGAUACCCUAGUAGUC